CCUUUUCCUUCAAGAAGAUGAACGUAUCAAAUCUCCCCCGAAUAAGCAGCAUGUUCUUUCUGGUCGUAUUCCUUGCCACCAUUGAUCUCAGCCUUCAGCAGCUGCAAAGCCUGAAGGACGCAGAAUCGGUGCCUCUUGGUGGGACGGUCACCCUAUCUUGCAGAUACUCUACUGGAAUCAUCAAUGACAACAAUUACCCUUGGUGGGUCCAGCAACAUCCAGGCAAACCACCCCGGCUCUUGCUUUACCAGACCAGUGUCAAACCUUCUGAUGUUCCAGCCCGCUUCUCUGGGUCCAAGUCAGGGAAUGUGAUGUCGCUGACCAUAACAGGAGCCUUGUCAGAAGAUGAAGCCAUCUACCAUUGUUGCGUACACACAGGGAGUGCAUAG